rnacentral:misc_RNA from 1 species
GCAAACUUGGUCAUUUAGAGGAAGUAAAAGUCGUAACAAGGUUUCCGUAGGUGAACCUGCGGAAGGAUCAUUAACGGCGUAGGAGGUUGGGGGGAUUGUCAUUGCAUUGUCAUUGCAUUGUCAUUGCAUUGUCAUUGCAUUGCAUUGCAUUGUCAUUGCAUUGCAUUGUCAUUGCAUUGCCAUUGUCAUUCCUUUCCACCCACAACACAUAUUCACCCGAGUAGUCGUUGCCGACUGCGGGAUGGUUUUGAUGAGCAAUCAUCAAGCCACUAUAUAUAUAAACGCUUGGAUGUUUGACAGAUAAAUGAAAUGACACACAAAAUGAACAACUUUUAACAAUGGAUCUCUUGGCUCUUGCAUCGAUGAAGAACGCAGC